GACCUCGUAGUGAAGUUCACGGUGAGUUGCAAGCUCAUUAAUGUGCACUUGGUGUGUGCCGGGGUCU
rnacentral:tRNA from 1 species